CGGAACAUGUGACAACUGUCCUCAUCUGCAUAUGGACAGGUACGCUAUGGUGAGCUGGGUAGAGAAGUUACCGGGCUGGCACCGUGUGAAUGGAGGUUUAAAGAUCAUCGAGAAAUCUCCUAAGUAGCCCUAGGACAUCGUUAGUCUACAGCAAGAGGACUACUGUUUCAUACCGCCCCUUGACUUCGGAAAAUAGCUCAUUGUAAUCAACAGAGACAGGCACCCCUCACUGUCAGUCUGGCUGCUGUGUCCCCAUUUGGUCCAGAUGUGAGAGCAGAGACCAGCAGUGUCACCUCUAACCCUCAGGGCCCGUCGUUAUGAAAAUGGUGUUGUCGUUACCAAGGCCGUCGUGGGGGUUGUGGUCUGUGUUAGUCCCGGGCCUGGCCCUACUGCUGUGCCUGGCCCUGGUCCUGAUGGGCUGUGUGAUCAGGAAGAAGAGAAGGAUGGAGGGAAUGUAUCGGCCCAGUGCGGAGGAGAGCAAACAGACAGGACCACGGGGGGCUGAGAGACCAGGCCUGCCCCUGCCCAAGGAGGAGAGACUCAUCUGAUACCUGCACUCUAGCCUGGACGCUACACACACACAAACUCUCUUUUCCUCCCUCUCUCUCUCACUACCAUUGCCUCACUCUCCUCUACCCUGGACAUGAAGCCAGAAUGGGUUAUUAGUAGUUAUGUAUUGUGUUGUGUAAAGUUAUCUGUAGAUGAAGUGUCUUGUUAAAUAUGCCUGAACAUGCCUGGUGGAUGUGCCAUGUUCUCUCCAGUUUCUCCAACUGUGCUGAUGUUGACAUCAGUGUCAGGGGUGUGUUGUUUACCUGUAGGUGGACUAGUUGUUGACAUGUUUACCUGUAGGUGGACUAGUUGUUUACAUGUUUACCUGUAGGUGGACUAGUUGUUGACAUGUUUACCUGUAGGUGGACUAGUUGUUGACAUGUUUACCUGUAGGUGGACUAGUUGUUGACAUGUUUACCUGUAGGUGGACUAGUUGUUGACAUGGUUACCUGUAGGUGGACUAGAUGUUGACAUGGUUACCUGUAGGUGGACUAGUUGUUGACAUGGUUACCUGUAGGUGGACUAGUUGUUGACAUGGUUACCUGUAGGUGGACUAGUUGUUGACAUGGUUACCUGUAGGUGGACUAGUUGUUGACAUGGUUACCUGUAGGUGGACUAGUUGUUGACAUGGUUACCUGUAGGUGGACUAGUUGUUGACAUGGUUACCUGUAGGUGGACUAGUUGUUGACAUGGUUACCUGUAGGUGGACUAGUUGUUGACAUGGUUACCUGUAGGUGGACUAGUUGUUGACAUGGUUACCUGUAGGUGGACUAGUUGUUGACAUGGUUACCUGUAGGUGGACUAGUUGUUGACAUGGUUACCUGUAGGUGGACUAGUUGUUGACAUGGUUACCUGUAGGUGGACUAGUUGUUGACAUGGUUACCUGUAGGUGGACUAGUUGUUGACAUGGUUACCUGUAGGUGGACUAGUUGUUGACAUGGUUACCUGUAGGUGGACUAGUUGUUGACAUGGUUACCUGUAGGUGGACUAGUUGUUGACAUGGUUACCUGUAGGUGGACUAGUUGUUGACAUGUUUACCUGUAGGUGGACUAGUUGUUGACAUGUUUACCUGUAGGUGGACUAGUUGUUGACAUGUUUACCUGUAGGUGGACUAGUUGUUGACAUGUUUACCUGUAGGUGGACUAGUUGUUGACAUGUUUACCUGUAGGUGGACUAGUUGUUGACAUGUUUACCUGUAGGUGGACUAGUUGUUGACAUGUUUACCUGUAGGUGGACUAGUUGUUGACAUGUUUACCUGUAGGUGGACUAGUUGUUGACAUGUUUACCUGUAGGUGGACUAGUUGUUGACAUGGUUACCUGUAGGUGGACUAGUUGUUGACAUGUUUACCUGUAGGUGGACUAGUUGUUGAUCAUACAGCGAAAAGGGAAUUUUAAAAGUUCCUCUAUAUGCAAAAUGUCUCUUUAUUGUGGCAGUUAUACUGCUACAUGUGUACAAACUAUGAUUUAAGUGUAUCCCGUGUAUAAAGCAUUAGUGUGUGUGUGUUUUUAUAUCUUGAAAACGAAGAGAAGAAUGGUAAGACACUAUGAAUGAUUUCUAAUGCACUUCUGAUGAUAUUAUCCAUGUGAAAAAAAUAAAACUCCUCUCAAAAAGUAUAAAACUUCCA